rnacentral:rRNA from 1 species
GACGAACGCUGGCGGCGUGCUUAACACAUGCAAGUCGAACGAAGAGCGAUGGAAGCUUGCUUCUAUCAAUCUUAGUGGCGAACGGGUGAGUAACGCGUAAUCAACCUGCCCUUCAGAGGGGGACAACAGUUGGAAACGACUGCUAAUACCGCAUACGAUUUAACCUCGGCAUCGAGGAAAGAUGAAAGGUGGCCUCUAUUUAUAAGCUAUCACUGAAGGAGGGGAUUGCGUCUGAUUAGCUAGUUGGAGGGGUAACGGCCCACCAAGGCGAUGAUCAGUAGCCGGUCUGAGAGGAUGAACGGCCACAUUGGGACUGAGACACGGCCCAGACUCCUAGGGAGGCAGCAGUGGGGAAUCUUCCGCAAUGGACGAAAGUCUGACGGAGCAACGCCGCGUGAGUGAUGACGGCCUUCGGGUUGUAAAGCUCUGUUAAUCGGGACGAAAGGCCUUCUUGCGAACAGUUAGAAGG